UACGUAGGGGGCAAGCGUUGUCCGGAAUUAUUGGGCGUAAAGCGCGCGCAGGCGGUUUCUUAAGUCUGAUGUGAAAUCUCGGGGCUCAACCCCGAGCGGUCAUUGGAAACUGGGGAACUUGAGUACAGAAGAGGAGAGUGGAAUUCCACGUGUAGCGGUGAAAUGCGUAGAUAUGUGGAGGAACACCAGUGGCGAAGGCGACUCUCUGGUCUGUAACUGACGCUGAGGCGCGAAAGCGUGGGGAGCGAACAGG
rnacentral:rRNA from 1 species